AGGUCAAGCUACAAAGGGCGCAUGGUGAAUGCCUUGGCAUCAGGAGCCGAUGAAGGACGCGAUAAGCUGCGAUAAGCUUCGGGUAGACGCACAUAGUCAGAGAUCCGAAGAUUUCCGAAUGAGGAAACUCACAUGGGAAACCCCAUGUAUCGUAAAGUGAAUACAUAGCUUUAUGAAGGUAAACCCAGGGAACUGAAACAUCUAAGUACCUGGAGGAAGAGAAAGAAAAAUCGAUUUUCUUAGUAGCGGCGAGCGAAAGGGAAAGAGCCCAAACCAAAGAUUUAUCUUUGGGGUUGCGGACAGAACAUUAACGAGAAAUUAUGGUUAACCGAACACAACUGGAAAGUUGGACCGUAGGGGGUAAUAGUCCUGUAGGUGAAAAUUAUAAUAAUCAAGUUCUGAUCCAGAGUACCACGAGACACGUGAAACCUUGUGGGAAGCAGGGAGGACCACCUCCCAAGGCUAAAUACUACCUGAUGACCGAUAGUGAAGCAGUACCGUGAGGGAAAGGUGAAAAGAACCCCGGGAGGGGAGUGAAAUAGAACCUGAAACCAUGUGCCUACAACCGAUCAAAGCACCUUAUGUGUGUGAUGAUGUGCUUUUUGUAGAACGAGCCAACGAGUUACGG
rnacentral:rRNA from 1 species